GGGCGCUUGGUCUAGGGGUAUGAUUUUCGCUUCGCAUCUUCUUCGGAUCACUUGCGUACUUGUGAAAGGUCGUGGGUUCAAUUCCCACAGCGUCCA